rnacentral:rRNA from 1 species
CUAUGAGAUGGACCUGCGUUGUAUUAGCUAGUUGGUGAGGUAACGGCUCACCAAGGCAUCGAUACAUAGCCGACCUGAGAGGGUGAUCGGCCACACUGGGACUGAGACACGGCCCAGACUCCUACGGGAGGCAGCAGUAGGGAAUCUUCGGCAAUGGGGGCAACCCUGACCGAGCAACGCCGCGUGAGUGAAGAAGGUUUUCGGAUCGUAAAGCUCUGUUGUAAGAGAAGAACUGUGAGAAGAGUGGAAAAUUUCUCACUUGACGGUGUCUUACCAGAAAGGGACGGCUAACUACGUGCCAGCAGCCGCGGUAAUACGUAGGUCCCGAGCGUUGUCCGGAUUUAUUGGGCGUAAAGCGAGCGCAGGCGGUUUGAUAAGUCUGAAGUAAAAGGCUGUGGCUUAACCAUAGUACGCUUUGGAAACUGUCA